GAUGAACGCUGGCGGCGUGCCUAACACACGCAAGUCGAACGAAGCACCUUACCUGAUUCUUCGGAUGAAAGUUUGGUGACUGGGUGGCGGACGGGUGAGUAACGCGUGGGUAACCUGCCCUGUACAGGGGGAUAACAGCUGGAAACGGCUGCUAAUACCGCAUAAGCGCACGAGGAGACAUCUCCUUGUGUGAAAAACUCCGGUGGUACAGGAUGGGCCCGCGUCUGAUUAGCUGGUUGGCAGGGUAACGGCCUACCAAGGCAACGAUCAGUAGCCGGUCUGAGAGGAUGAACGGCCACAUUGGAACUGAGACACGGUCCAAACUCCUACGGGAGGCAGCAGUGGGGAAUAUUGCACAAUGGGGGAAACCCUGAUGCAGCAACGCCGCGUGAGUGAAGAAGUAUUUCGGUAUGUAAAGCUCUAUCAGCAGGGAAGAUAAUGACGGUACCUGACUAAGAAGCUCCGGCUAAAUACGUG
rnacentral:rRNA from 1 species